rnacentral:rRNA from 1 species
AGUUGCACGUAAACUUUGAUCCGAAGAUUUCCGAAUGAGGAAACUCACUUAGAGUAAUGUCUAAGUAUCAUUAAGUGAAUACAUAGCUUAAUGAGGGGAACUCAGGGAACUGAAAACAUUAAGUACCUGAAGGAAGAGAAAGAAAUUCGAUUCCGUAAGUAGCGGCGAGCGAACGCGGAUUAGCCCAAACCAAUAAAGUUUUCUUUAUUGGGGUUGCGGACAUAUCAUAACGAAGAGGUAUCGUAAUUGAAGAGGUUUGGAAAGACCCACCACAGAAGGUAAUAGUCCUGUAUGUUAAACGAGAAGACUUCAGAUAUGAUCCAGAGUACCACGGGACACGUGAAACCCUGUGGGAAGCAGGAGGGACCACCCUCCAAGGCUAAAUACUACCUAGUGACCGAUAGCGUAUAGUACCGUGAGGAAAGGUGAAAGAAAACCCGGGAGGGGAGUGAAAUAGAACCUGAAACCCUGCACUUACAAGCUGUGGAAGCACAUUUCUUGUGUGACCGCGUACUUUUUGUAGAACGGGCCAACGAGUUACGUUAAGUAGCAAGGUUAAGCACUUAAGGUGCGGAGCCGUAGCGAAAGCGAGUUUUAACUGAGCGUUCAGUUACUUGACGUAGACCCGAAACCGGGCGACCUACCCAUGAGCAGGAUGAAGCGAAAGUAAAAUUUCGUGGAGGUCCGAACCCACGAGCGUUGAAAAGCUCGGGGAUGACUUGUGGGUAGCGGUGAAAUUCCAAUCGAGCCCGGAGAUAGCUGGUUCUCCCCGAAAUAGCUUAGGGCUAGCCUCAAGGUGAGAGAUACGGAGGUAGAGCACUGAAUGUCCUAGGGGGUAUUGCACCUACCGAAGACUAUCAAACUCCGAAUGCCGUCAUCUUAUACUUGGGAGUCAGACUGUGGGUGAUAAGAUUCAUAGUCGAAAGGGCAACAGCCCAGAUCGUCAGCUAAGGUCCCUAAAUGUAAGUUAAGUGGUAAAGGAUGUGGGAUUGCACAGACAACCAGGAUGUUGGCUUAGAAGCAGCCACUCAUUCAAAGAGUGCGUAAUAGCUCACUGGUCGAGUGAUCCUGCGCCGAAGAUUUCCGGGGCUAAAACUUACUACCGAAGCUACGGCAUCAGUAAUGAUGGGUAGGGGAGCUUCCCAUACGGGUUGAAGCAUGACCGUAAGGACAUGUGGACAGUAUGGGAGUGAGAAUGUUGGCAUGAGUAGCGAGAUGUGGGUGAGAAUCCCACAGGCCGUAAACCCAAGGUUUCCAGGGGAAGGUUCGUCCGCCCUGGGUUAGUCGGGACCUAAGCUGAGGCCGAAAGGCGUAGGUGAUGGACAACAGGUUGAUAUUCCUGUACUACCGAUAACCGUUUGAGAGAAGGGAUGACACAGUAGGAUAAGCUAAGCACACUGUUGGUUAUGUGUGCCCAAGCAUUGAGGCAGUCAAAGUAGGCAAAUCCGCUUUGAUAAUGCUGGGAUGUGAUGGGGAGCGAAAUUUAGUAGCGAAGUAGCUGAUUUCACACUGUCAAGAAAAGUCUCUAUCGAGGUUAAAGGUACCCGUACCGCAAACCGACACAGGUGGGUGAGGAGAGUAUCCUAAGGCCAGCGAGAGAACUGUUGUUAAGGAACUCGGCAAAAUGACCCCGUAACUUAGGGAUAAGGGGUGCCACCAUCAGGUGGCCGCAGAGAAUAGGCCCAAGCGACUGUUUACCAAAAACAUAGGUUUCUGCUAAGUCGCAAGACGAUGUAUAGGAGCUGACGCCUGCCCGGUGCUGGAAGGUUAAGGGGAUCUGUUAGAGCAAUCGAAGCAGUGAACUUAAGCCCCAGUAAACGGCGGCCGUAACUAUAACGGUCCUAAGGUAGCGAAAUUCCUUGUCGGGUAAGUUCCGACCCGCACGAAAGGCGUAACGAUUUGGGCACUGUCUCAACAACAGACUCGGUGAAAUUGUAAUUCCGGUGAAGAUGCCGGAUACCUGCGACAGGACGGAAAGACCCCAUGGAGCUUUACUGUAGCUUGACAUUGGGUCUUGGUACUACAUGUACAGGAUAGGUGGGAGGCUUUGAAACCAGGACGCCAGUUUUGGCGGAGCCAUCCUUGGGAUACCACCCUUGUAGUACUGGGACUCUAACCAUAGGCCAUGAAUCUGGUCUUGGGACACUGUCAGGUGGGCAGUUUGACUGGGGCGGUCGCCUCCCAAAAGGUAACGGAGGCGCUCAAAGGUUCUCUCAGUACGGUCGGAAAUCGUACGUAGAGUGUAAAGGCAAAAGAGAGCUUGAUUGCAAGACAUACAGGUCGAGCAAGGAUGAAAAUCGGACUUAGUGAUCCGGUGGUUCUGCGUGGAAGGGCCAUCGCUCAACGGAUAAAAGCUACCCUGGGGAUAACAGGCUUAUCUCCCCAAGAGUCCACAUCGACGGGGAGGUUUGGCACCUCGAUGUCGGCUCAUCACAUCCUGGGGCUGUAGUAGGUCCCAAGGGUUGGGCUGUUCGCCCAUUAAAGUGGUACGCGAGCUGGGUUCAGAACGUCGUGAGACAGUUCGGUCCCUAUCCGUCGCAGGCGUAGGAAAUUUGAGAAGACCUGUCCUUAGUACGAGAGGACCGGGAUGGACGUACCUCUGGUGUACCAGUUGUCCUGCCAAGGGCAUGGCUGGGUAGCUAUGUACGGAAUGGAUAAGCGCUGAAAGCAUCUAAGCGCGAAGCCAACUUCAAGAUAAGAUUUCCCACCGCAAGGGUAAGACCCCAGAAAGACUAUCUGGUUGAUAGGUCGAAGGUGUAAGUGCAGCAAUGUAUUUAGCUUAUCGAUACUAAUAGGUCGAGGACUUGACCAA